GACGUAGGUGGCGAACGUUUAUCCGGAAUUAUUGGGCGUAAAGGGUGCGUAGGUGGGUCUGUAAGUCAGUGGUGAAAUCUUCAAGCUUAACUUGGAAACUGCCAUUGAUACUAUAGGUCUUGAAUUAUCUGGAGGUGAGCGGAAUAUGUCAUGUAGCGGUGAAAUGCUUAGAUAUGACAUAGAACACCAAUUGCGAAGGCAGCUCACUACGGAUGUAUUGACACUGAGGCACGAAAGCGUGGGGAUCAAACAGG
rnacentral:rRNA from 1 species